rnacentral:lncRNA from 1 species
GCAGUCUCUGUUCACUUGACUUCUCAUCUCUUCCUUUUCGUAGUUGUCUUUCUUUCCUGUUCCUCAAUGCUACAAACAGAGACAUAAUUAAUUAUUACAAAACUAAUGUCUGAAAUCCCAAAAUUUCGAUCAAAGGAAAAAAAAGAAGGAAGAGCUUACAUUUGGCUUCCUCGAGGUGAUGAAUAAGCAGAAUUAUGACCUGAUCCACUUAUUCGAGAAAAAUAUGUGUGACAUUGCGGAAUCGAAACUGCUUUGUGCUGAAAAACUGCGACACUUGUUUGAGAAACAAAAAUAUAAGAAGUGAGUGAAAAAUCUAUGAAUGCGAGUAAAUAUAUAUGAAGGGAAAAAAAUACACAAUAAUUAAUUCCAAUACAAAUUAAAACCUGUUGUCUUCGCACAACAUCUUUUUCAACUUUGUGACUUGUGAAUCACUGUAUGUCAUUUAUUUUCACAAACUCUACAAUCU